rnacentral:lncRNA from 1 species
GCCCAGGUGCCUAAGUAAACCGCUCAGCGGUUUCCCUCUAGGAGUUUUGGACCGCUUAGCGGUCAGUUUUGCCGCUGAGUGGUUUCCCUUUAAUCGCUCUGGAUGCUCAGCAGUCCAUUCUGGCACUCAGCGGCUCACUUGACCCUUCUUUUCAUCCUUUUUCUUCCCUUUCACGGGUAUAAGUCCACCUUACUUCUCUUCCAUCUUCAAUUCAUCUUAAAACCCUGCAAAACAAUGUAAAAAGAAGCAUAAUAUCUCUAAAACCAACUUUUGACUCUCUUAUGA